rnacentral:rRNA from 1 species
AGGGUUUGAUCCUGGCUCAGAACGAACGUUGGCGGCGUGGAUGAGGCAUGCAAGUCGAACGCGAAAGCCGCAAGGCGAGUAAAGUGGCGGACGGGCGAGUAACACGUAAUCAAGCUGCCUGCGAGACGGGGAUAACUUCGGGAAACCGAAGCUAAGACCCGAUGGCCUUGGGAGAUCGCAUGUUUUCCCAAGUAAAUGGGCGGGACCUUUCGGGGUCGCCUGCUCGCAGAGGUGAUUGCGGCCCAUCAGCUAGUUGGUAGGGUAAUGGCCUACCAAGGCAACGACGGGUAGCCGGCCUUAGAGGGUGGUCGGCCGCACUGGGACUGAGACACUGCCCAGACACCUACGGGUGGCUGCAGUCGAGAAUCUUCCGCAAUGGGCGAAAGCCUGACGGAGCGACGUCGCGUGGUUGAUGAAGUCUUUCGGGAUGUAAAGACCUUUUAUGUGGGAUAAAGUUAUUGAUAGUACCACAUGAAUAAGGGGUUGCUAAACUCGUGCCAGCAGCAGCGGUAAUACGAGUGGCCCAAGCGUUAUCCGGAAUUAUUGGGUGUAAAGGGUGCGUAGGUGGUUUUGUUAGUCUUGUGUUAAAACCCGGAGCUUAACUCCGGAUCUGCACAAGAAACGGCAUAACUAGAGGGUGUGAGAGGUCUGUAGAACUCAUGGUGUAGGGGUGAAAUCCGUUGAUAUCAUGGGGAAUACCAAAAGCGAAGGCAGCAGACUGGCACAUUCCUGACAUUGAGGCACGAAAGCGUAGGUAGCGAAUGGGAUUAGAUACCCCAGUAGUCUACGCCCUAAACGAUGAUCACUUGCUUUUCGGAGUAUCGACCCUCUGAGAGGCGAAGCUAACGCGUUAAGUGAUCCACCUGGGUAGUACGAUCGCAAGAUUAAAACUCAAAGGAAUAGACGGGGACUUGCACAAGCAGUGGAUUAUGUGGUUUAAUUCGAUGGUAAACGAAGAACCUCACCA